CCUACGGGUGGCAGCAGUGGGGAAUAUUGGGCAAUGGGCGCAAGCCUGACCCAGCAACGCCGCGUGAGGGAAGAAGGCUUUCGGGUUGUAAACUUCUUUUCUCAGGGACGAAGAAAGUGACGGUACCUGAGGAAUAAGCCACGGCUAACUACGUGCCAGCAGCCGCGGGAAUACGUAGGUGGCAAGCGUUAUCCGGAUUUACUGGGUGUAAAGGGAGUGUAGGCGGGAAAGCAAGUCAGAUGUGAAAACCAUGGGCUCAGCCUGUGGCCUGCCUUUGAAACUGUUUUUCUUGAGUACUGGAGAGGCAGACGGAAUUCCUAGUGUAGCGGUGAAAUGCGUAGAUAUUAGGAGGAACACCAGUGGCGAAGGCGGUCUGCUGGACAGCAACUGACGCUGAGGCGCGAAAGCGUGGGGAGCAAACAGGAUUAGAUACCCUAGUAGUC
rnacentral:rRNA from 1 species